rnacentral:tRNA from 1 species
UAGCAGGUAAACUAGUUUAAGUUGUUGGGUUCAUGGCCCUUUUAAGGUCUCACCUUUGCUAC